rnacentral:tRNA from 1 species
GGUAAAAUGGCUGAGCUAAAUAAGCGAUAAAUUGUAAAUUUAUAGAGGAAUAAUAAAAAUUCUUUUACC